rnacentral:lncRNA from 10 species
UUUUGUAAAAUUGAUUAUUUUUAUUAUUUUUAUGACAUCUGUGUUGCCCAGGUUGGUCUUGAACUUCGGAGGCCAAGUGAUCCUCCCACUUUGGGCUCUCAAAGUGCUGGAAUUACAGUUGUGAGCCACCGCACUUGGCCUAUUUUAAUAUUAAUCAUCUUAAAACUGCUUUACAUUUUCAUAUUGGCGAACCUAAAAAACGUUUGCCAUUGCAAUUCAUGAAUAUCUCAUGUUUGUUUGAGAAGAAAAGUCAAAGGAACAAGACCUUUAGGAGUUACUGGCUCUCCUCCAUACUCUCCAUAACUGUUUUGUUACUGCAGUUGCCAACAUAGGAUACUUUUGUUCCUAGAAGGCUGGGCUACACCAAAGAUUAAAAGCACAUUUCCUACAAGUGGAGUAGAAGCUAGUUUUAAUUUCGUCUUCCUUUCAGUCCACUUAAGAUAACAGUUGUGGCCCCUUUGGGCCCUCAUAUCUCCAGCCCUCUAGGUAAAACAGGAGGGAAGCUGGACUACAUUGUCAGGCACUUCAAAUGCACCAAAGUUCUGAAAAGGGGAAAUCCUGACCAUUACUACCAGUUUGUUUCCCACUUUUCAAUCAAUGACAUAUUGCUCUCUCACACAAUUCUGUGGGAGCAUUUAAACCAUAUCAAUAAAUUGAAAAAGCACAUAGCAUCAAUCCAACCAAAAGAUAUUUGCAUGGUAAACGUGAUGCACUGAUAUAAACUCUAUGUU